rnacentral:rRNA from 1 species
AGAGUUUGAUCAUGGCUCAGAUUGAACGCUGGCGGCAGGCCUAACACAUGCAAGUCGAGCGGUAGCACAGAGAGCUUGCUCUCGGGUGACGAGCGGCGGACGGGUGAGUAAUGUCUGGGAAACUGCCUGAUGGAGGGGGAUAACUACUGGAAACGGUAGCUAAUACCGCAUAACGUCGCAAGACCAAAGUGGGGGACCUUCGGGCCUUAUGCCAUCAGAUGUGCCCAGAUGGGAUUAGCUAGUAGGUGGGGUAACGGCUCACCUAGGCGACGAUCCCUAGCUGGUCUGAGAGGAUGACCAGCCACACUGGAACUGAGACACGGUCCAGACUCCUACGGGAGGCAGCAGUGGGGAAUAUUGCACAAUGGGCGCAAGCCUGAUGCAGCCAUGCCGCGUGUGUGAAGAAGGCCUUCGGGUUGUAAAGCACUUUCAGCGGGGAGGAAGGCGNCGAUUGACGUUACCCGCAGAAGAAGCACCGGCUAACUCCGUGCCAGCAGCCGCGGUAAUACGGAGGGUGCAAGCGUUAAUCGGAAUUACUGGGCGUAAAGCGCACGCAGGCGGUCUGUCAAGUCGGAUGUGAAAUCCCCGGGCUCAACCUGGGAACUGCAUUCGAAACUGGCAGGCUAGAGUCUUGUAGAGGGGGGUAGAAUUCCAGGUGUAGCGGUGAAAUGCGUAGAGAUCUGGAGGAAUACCGGUGGCGAAGGCGGCCCCCUGGACAAAGACUGACGCUCAGGUGCGAAAGCGUGGGGAGCAAACAGGAUUAGAUACCCUGGUAGUCCACGCCGUAAACGAUGUCGAUUUGGAGGUUGUGCCCUUGAGGCGUGGCUUCCGGAGCUAACGCGUUAAAUCGACCGCCUGGGGAGUACGGCCGCAAGGUUAAAACUCAAAUGAAUUGACGGGGGCCCGCACAAGCGGUGGAGCAUGUGGUUUAAUUCGAUGCAACGCGAAGAACCUUACCUGGUCUUGACAUCCACAGAACUUUCCAGAGAUGGAUUGGUGCCUUCGGGAACUGUGAGACAGGUGCUGCAUGGCUGUCGUCAGCUCGUGUUGUGAAAUGUUGGGUUAAGUCCCGCAACGAGCGCAACCCUUAUCCUUUGUUGCCAGCGGUNGGCCGGGAACUCAAAGGAGACUGCCAGUGAUAAACUGGAGGAAGGUGGGGAUGACGUCAAGUCAUCAUGGCCCUUACGACCAGGGCUACACACGUGCUACAAUGGCAUAUACAAAGAGAAGCGACCUCGCGAGAGCAAGCGGACCUCAUAAAGUAUGUCGUAGUCCGGAUUGGAGUCUGCAACUCGACUCCAUGAAGUCGGAAUCGCUAGUAAUCGUAGAUCAGAAUGCUACGGUGAAUACGUUCCCGGGCCUUGUACACACCGCCCGUCACACCAUGGGAGUGGGUUGCAAAAGAAGUAGGUAGCUUAACCUUCGGGAGGGCGCUUACCACUUUGUGAUUCAUGACUGGGGUGAAGUCGUAACAAGGUAACCGUAGGGGAACCUGCGGUUGGAUCACCU